UACGUAGGGGGCUAGCGUUGUCCGGAAUCAUUGGGCGAAAGAGCGUGUAGGCGGCCCGGUAAGUCCGCUGUGAAAGUCGGGGGCUCAACCCUCGAAUGCCGGUGGAUACUGUCGGGCUAGAGUGCGGAAGAGGCGAGUGGAAUUCCUGGUGUAGCGGUGAAAGUGCGCAGAUAUCAGGAGGAACACCAUUGGCGAAGGCAGCUCGCUGGGACGUAACUGACGCUGGAG
rnacentral:rRNA from 1 species